AAAUUGAUAUUUAAUAUCACUUUUAAUAAUGCUGGGGCGCUGUGUGUUGCACAGGUAGAGCAAGUACAGCAUCCAGAGGGUAGAAGCCUCAACGCAGCCGUCCUGGGUUCAAUUCCCGUCCCUAAGACCUUUGCUGCAUGUCUUCCUCUCUUCUCUCUGCCUGUUUUCCUGUCUGUUUAUUCCACUAAAGGCCUCUAGGACCAAAAUAGAUUUAGGAAUUGUUGCAAAUUUAAACCUCAAAUUAAAACACAUCAAGGCACAUUUAGUUACUAGUGUGCUCCUCAACUCUAGAUCCAAUUGUCCAAAAGACUGAGACACGCAGGAACCACUGACACUUUUAAAUCAGGACGGAAAACAUUUUUUGUUUACUACGGGUUUUUCAUAAAUGUCAAAAAAGCUCUAUCAUUUUUGUCAUGUCUUGGGUUUUUAUCUUAUUACCGCUUCUUUCUUCAUAUUGUGUGAUGUAUCAAACUUUUAUGUAACGCUUUGCUUGUUUUUGAUAUACCAGGAGGUUGUUAUUUCUGUUUGUUUGUUUUUUUUCUGCAACGUUUUUAUUUGCAUUCCCUUGGCGUAAUGCGAAUCAAUUUGUCUUCCUGAGCAUUUCAAAACACUGCUCAGUUCAAGCUCUUCAUUUCUCAGACCAGUGGCAACAGUUUGAUCCAUUUGUCUCAGUUAUGAGGUGCAAAGGCAGUCUGGAGUGGUGAUUAAGAAGUGAUUCUGCUGUUGAUGUUGCCUGUCAUAUAUUCUGCUUCAUUAUACCUGCGCACACACAUAUUUCCCCAUCCUUGUCCCCAGUCAAACAAUUCAUACAAGAGUUACAUCUCCACCUCUGACCCUUUGACCCCAAAUGACAUUUGUACUGUUAUAAAGACACAGAGUCAUCCUCGUCCACAUGAGAGACCCUUUGUGGAUUUUCUGCACACUUUCUGACACAGACUGUCACUUUUAGACUCUGCAGACCCAGACUCAGUUUGAGCAGCAAUCUGCUGAAAAACGCAGCUUUGAAUAGUAAGUGAGACCGUGACCUGUUCUUUUUAUAGCAGGACAAAAGCAGCAUAUCUAACAGUAAACACAAUCUUUAACUGUGACCUUUGCUUUAACAAGGUUAAGGCAUGUUGAUUUGGACAGCAACAAGACAAUUCAAAGUGCUUUGUGUGAUAAAAAAAAAAAAACCCACAAAACAAUUAACAAACAAACAAAACAAAAAACAGUACAAUGACAAAAUUAAGAGAACACUUGAUAACGUGCUGGAGAUGUGUCCAUGCAGAGACGUGUCUAUAACAUGCUGGAUCUUGACUUCUAAGUGUGUCAGUAAGGCAUCCGUCUAUAUGGGAAGGUGGACAAAGUGAGAAUUUCAAGUUAAUGUUAGCAGUAAACAGUAAAUGGAGAGUAUAACCAGAGAAAAUAGAGUGAACAAAAGCAGUCAGUAUGUCCUCCACUACAGACACUGACUGUUCAAAACUUUUUUUGCAAUAUGCAGUGCAAAGAUGCAGCAUCUCACCCUGAUUAUUCUCUGAAUUUGCUCACUCUGGAGUAUUUUAUUGCUCCUCUGUCAUGGGUCUGCUGAAGUAAACACUUGUUUUGCCUUUUUCAGGAUAAUGAAGGGCAGACAGCGCUACAUUAUGCAUCCGCCUGCGAGUUUGCUGACAUUGUAGAGCUCCUCCUGAACAGCGGCGCUGACCCAUCCAUCAAAGACAUGGAGGGCUCUCUUCCCGAGGAGGUCACUGAAUCCAGCGCCAUCUCCACACUCCUGCGCCAGUACACCGCUCCGAAAGGCUAGCUCAUCCCUUUAUAGUGCCAUCCAAGUCUUCUCUCGUCUCUUCUCCACACAUUUGUCCGGUAUUCCCAUUACUCGUCCUUGAUCCUUGGAAAGACUCUCUAGGUUCUGCGGUUUGCAGAUGUUUUGUUUUGUUGUUCUUUAGUUUUCAAGUUUUGAAGGUGAAUCUGAAAUCAUGUUUAGCUCUUCUGGAGUUCAUCUGUGAACAUGUAUGUCCCAUCUGAUAAGACAAAAACAGAGCAUUGCAUGUGUUUUCAGUUAUUUGUAAAACUGUAUGUUGAUUGUACAGUAGAACUGGAUAACAUGAUGGUUACUGCAAGACAUUGUAGUAACCAGUAAAGAUCUGUUGACAAUAAUUUUGCUGUACUGAGGGAAGCACUCCCAGAAUAACUUCUGCUAAACAAGCAUCUACGUGGACCAUAUGACAAAUUAAUAAACUGGAUAACGUCUUGGAAACAUUUUACUGAAAUGAUUUUGCAUCAUUUUGAUGUGACGUAUCUGGAUUUAUGAGAACUAUUCAGUCUUUGGGAAAAUACUUUUAGAACAAUCCACAAAAAUGAACAAUACCACAUAACGUAUUAUGAACAUAAUGUACUGCACCAUACAGACACUUCAUAUCAACCCGUCUCCCAGCUGAAACCUGAUAACCUGACACACUUGUAUUCUACGUUCGUCCUCUCUGAGUUAGUUUAUGAUUCUGCUGUUGUAUAUUAAGGAAUGCUUCAUUCAUUUCUAAGUUUUCAUCAUUAAAGUCUUAAUUAAAGCUU